GAGCAGGCGCAGCUAUAAUGCAGUCGUGGGGUAACCCUGCAGCAAUGUAGGGCUAGACCGGCAAACGGGUGAGUAACACGUACGCAACCUGCCUCUAACUGGAGGAUAGCCCCUCGAAAGAGGGAUUAAUACUCCAUGAUGUUACGGAAGGGCAUCCUUCUGUAACCAAAGCUCCGGCGGUUAGAGAGGGGCGUGCGUCCCAUUAGGUAGUUGGUAGGGUAACGGCCUACCAAGCCGACGAUGGGUAGCUGGCGUGAGAGCGCGACCAGCCACACGGGCACUGAGACACGGGCCCGACUCCUACGGGAGGCAGCAGUAAGGAAUAUUGGUCAAUGGGCGCAAGCCUGAACCAGCCAUGCCGCGUGCAGGAUGAAGGCCCUCAGGGUUGUAAACUGCUUUUCUCAGGGAAGAAACCCUCGUUUUCUAACGAGGCUGACGGUACCUGAGGAAUAAGCACCGGCUAACUCCGUGCCAGCAGCCGCGGUAAUACGGAGGGCGCGAGCGUUACCCGGAUUCACUGGGCGUAAAGGGCGUGUAGGCGGCCUGGGGCGUCCCAUGUGAAAGACCACGGCUCAACCGUGGGGGAGCGUGGGAUACGCUCAGGCUAGACGGUGGGAGAGGGUGGUGGAAUUCCCGGAGUAGCGGUGAAAUGCGCAGAUACCGGGAGGAACGCCGAUGGCGAAGGCAGCCACCUGGUCCACCCGUGACGCUGAGGCGCGAAAGCGUGGGGAGCAAACCGGAUUAGAUACCCUGGAAGUCCACGCC
rnacentral:rRNA from 1 species